CCGCAGGUGCUGACAGCCAGUUUGUGGUCUGCGCUCGGGGAAGAAAAGCAGGAAUUGCAGCAGAUCCAGAAAGACAUCUUAAAAGCUGAAAAUCUCACCAGUCUUUCUCCAGCAAAGACAGAAAACUUUGUGGAAUUGGUUUGGAAGCAAAUGUAAUGCUGACCAGAGGCAUGAGCAGUGAAGAAAUGCAGCUGUCUUAUUUUUCAUCCUUCAAAAGCCAAGGAAGAGGAAGUGAUGACUUUACCUCCUGUUCUGGAUCUCUGACUAUCGCAGUGACACCAAGGUGAGGGGAGUGGCUCAGUCUCAUCCGGUCCCAGGGCUCCAACAGGAAGUGACCUGAAGGUAGGAGUCCCGCUUGAGUUCAGACAAAAUACUCACCC